ensembl:lncRNA
AUCAAUGUCAUCGAUUGCUUAGUCACCAAAGUGAGCGGAGGCAUGACCAUAUCCCAUCAAAAAGUGUCAUUGAUGCACGGCGUGGCGUGCACUGAGGGCCAUGCCACCUCCAGAACCAGGAGCGCACAAAGCACCGGGGGGGGCACAGGGGUGCCAGGGCAGCCAUGGAGCCCUUCUCCUGUCAGCUCGCCUUACGGAAAAAAGGCGGUUGAUACACGAACGGUUUACCUACAUGCGAGAACAUCAACAAGAAAGAAAAUCAUACCGGAAGUGCACGCAGUAUUCACAUUUAAUAUGUAAAGGGGGCGUCACUAUCACCGAUGGCUUUGUCGCCUUGAGUCUCCGGAGCCGGGAGAGGACCCGCCGGUUCUGGUGACCGGCAUGGCCCACCUCACUGCUG